rnacentral:rRNA from 1 species
UAAUACAUCGGAACGUGCCCUGUAUGGGGGAUAACUAGUCGAAAGAUUAGCUAAUACCGCAUACGACCUGAGGGUGAAAUGGGGACCGCAAGGCCUCAUGCUAUAGGAGCGGCCGAUGUCUGAUUAGCUAGUUGGUGAGGUAAAGGCUCACCAAGGCGACGAUCAGUAGCUGGUCUGAGAGGACGAUCAGCCACACUGGGACUGAGACACGGCCCAG